CACCCAGUGGCGCGGGAGCUCAGCCCAGGGCCCAGGGAGGCCACGGGGAGAAACGAGCCCUCCUCCCCCCCCCCCCCAUUAGAGGGUCUGCCCAUUUAUUCGUCAUCUUUUGGCACAUCCAGCACCUGUCCAUGUGUUCCGGCUCCUUCAGGUCACCCCCUGUAUCCUGCGACCUACCAUGCAUGCCUGGGCAGCAGCAGUGGGUGUCCGUUUGUUGCCUGUUGUCUUUUCUCCAGUCCCCUGUGUCCAGAAAGUCCCUCUCUGUGUAUAUCUCUCUGUCUUGUCUCCUAGCUACCGGCCCUGCCUCUGAUCUCCCUGCCUAUCUAGGAUCAAUGCGUCUACCACUGAUCCGGGAUCAGUCCUUCCAGCUGCCCCUGUGUCUCUGAAACUGUCUCCCUCCAUUAAUCUAUAUGUACCUACACAUCUAUUACUCCGGCAGCUGCCUAUACAUCAUGCAGGCCCCAUUAUCCAUCAUUUAUCUGCAUAUGUAUCAUUCAUGCUUUCAGACAUCUAUUAUCCAUCACCUCUCUUGCCGCCCCUUUGAUGUCCUGCACUCUGCCAUCAGGGGUUAACACUGUCAGGCAUGCUUUCGCCAGCCCCAGAGAACAAAGACACCAAAGGGACAUGGAGGGAACAGAGAGGCCACGGGGGGGUCAUUAGGAGAGCUGGGGGCUCAGAGUUUGGCGGGGAGUGGAAAGAACUGGAGAUGUGUCCGGGGAAGGCUGUUCCGCUGGGAAUUGGAUCUGUUGUCUCACCAUCCCUCUCUCCCACCCCCCCAAAGGAUCAAGAGGACAUGGGUUUGAUUUGCAGCAGGAGAGCCCGAGGCUAGACACAGACAUCCUGCUUCCUCCGUGUAAACCUCUCUCCACGGCCCCCUUGACUCCCUGAGCCUCCCCACGCACGCGCAGAAGCUGCAGAAAGGAAGCAGGAGGGCCCUGUGGACAACCCGGGCAGGGCUCUGUCAUAUCCAUUUCUGUGUCCCCAGUUCUUCACGUCUGGUAGGAAAGUGGCCUCAUACAAGAUCAAUUAUAGGCAUAACCUCCCCCAACCCCCUGCCCAGUUCUGCCUCGUCCAAAAGAGAACAGACAGGGGGUCUGAUGGUUCCUAUAGUGCCCUCAGGGCACUUUACUAGGCUCUGGACUCCCUGAGGGGGUCAGGAACACCCUGUGAAUGCAGGCAGGUGACAGUGUCACCUUUGGAAUCCUUUGGGGGUUCUUGACACAGAGAUACCUGAGGCUGGGUUUCUAGGGGAGGUGGGUAUGAGGGCCAGGUAUUCAGUGGACGACUUCUCAGCCCUCCAAACUUCAGACAAGGAGAACACACCUGUUCUUACUGAGCAGGAAACUCAACAACUCAAGUUCAUAAGUUCCUUUAGUUCUGUGGUUAUUGGCAUCUGAGUUUGCUAGGAGUGGAGGGCCUGGGGGCGGGAGAGGCAGGGAGCCAAAGGCCUCCCUCCUCACAGCUCCAAGGAUAAAAAAGCACUUAGCAGCAGCACAUAAUAAAAGCAAAAGUAAGAGAAAGAAUAUCCUAAGGAUUUAAUAAACUGCAAACAAAAUUAUCACGAUUCUCUUCCUAGCCAGUUGAGUUUUCAGUGAUUAAGAAAAUACAAUUUCCUAUAAUUAAAUCUUAACAAGAAAUGUUAUUAAAAACACUCUGUCCCAGCCCCUGUAAUAAUUGCAUGCUCCCCUAGAACAGUAAACAGAAUUAGACUUUGCAGCGUACAUGCUAAUCCAUGUGUCAUUUUGAUCAAAUUUGUACUAAUAAUCUGUCUCCUUAUUCUGAGACAGGGAAGGAAGGCAAGAGGGAGCCAGACCCGGAGGGCAAGAGUGAACCCUGGUGGGGAAGCGGGAAGCCAGGAGAGCUGGGUUUGGCCUCCGUGAUGAGUUCCACUUUGCUGUGUGGCCUGAGCACUGGGCCACCUGAACCCUAGCUCCUUCCCCAGGCCUCCUUUCUGCUUAUGGGCGUUUUAAAUCGCCUAGCGUCUCCUCCAGGGAGCCCUUCCGGACUGCAGCAUCAUCUUCCUUCUCUGCACAUCUAUUGGUCUCUCAACCUUUGGGCCUUG